AAUUUAUUUCCAAUAAGCCGCACUGCCGUGCGCCCGUGCUGCUGUUUGAUACAUAUUACAGUUUUUAUUAUUAUUAUUAUUCUUUCUUCUCUGUUCCUUUAUUUUCUAUUCGCUGGAACACGGGUAUCCCGCACAAAUACUUAACGCUUAGCACUCAAGCUCUCAAGUACUCCAGCACUCGGCAUCUAUCCCCCCAAUAGUAUAACAUUUUUUUAAUCUACACCACUUUUGGGUGACGAAAUCAAUUUUAAUGUCAGAACUACAGUCGGCGCUAUUAUUAAAGAAACAACUGAAUGAAUUGCACAAGAACCCAGUAGAAGGGUUCUCUGCUGGUCUAAUAGAUGAUAAUGAUAUUUACAAAUGGGAAGUGCUCAUCAUUGGACCUCCAGACACCUUGUAUGAAGGAGGAUUUUUCAAGGCCCAUCUUAAUUUUCCAAAAGAGUAUCCAUUAAGGCCGCCAAAAAUGAAAUUUGUAACUGAAAUUUGGCAUCCUAAUAUUGAUAAAAGUGGUGAUGUUUGUAUAUCAAUACUUCAUGAACCCGGUGAUGAUAAGUGGGGUUAUGAAAAAGCAAGUGAACGUUGGCUACCAGUGCAUACUGUUGAAACUAUAUUGAUAUCAGUUAUUUCAAUGUUAGCUGAUCCAAAUGAUGAAAGUCCAGCUAAUGUAGAUGCAGCUAAAGAUUGGCGUGACAAUUAUCCAGAAUUUAAACGCAAGGUUGCACGUUGUGUGCGUAAGAGUCAAGAGGAUAUCUAAUAACAAAUUUGCCAGUUGCUCUACAUACAUGUUACCAACGUAUAAAUCAAUUAUUGAUGCCAGGAGUUAGUUGAAAAAUCAAAUUCAACAGUUUAGUUAUUUAAAUUAUUUGGUCAUUAUUAUUUACUUAUGCAGUACUCAUUACAUGACCACCAAGGACUAAACAUAAAAAUUAGCUUGAAAGUUUGUUUGCAAUAGUAAGAACUAUUAUAAUUUUUACUAAAAUUAAAAUACGGAGUAUCAAAAUGUAGAGCAAUCGACAACAUUUUAUAUAAUGUGAUUUAUAAAUGUAAGUUUAUUCAACAAAAUCUAAUAAAAUAUGAUAUACUAUCUUUUUAUCUUAAAAAUAUCCUAAAAACUGUACUUAGUACAAUUAAAUAUUAGGAUACUAUACUCUGUUCGUGUUAAGAGUGCCUAGUUGCUCGGAUGAAAACUAGUUCUGUUCGCUCAUGUAUCACAUAUACCGUACAAUGCCGACCAAUUACAGGACGUCUAAUGUCGCCUGUGGGGUCAAUAAGCUGUCAGCGGCUCAGUAUGCAUGCGCGAGUUUGGACACUCUUAACCUGAACAGAGUAUACCUUGAACAAAUAGAAAAUACUUUGUGAAAUUAAUGAAUUUAAUCAUGUGUUUAAAAUUAAAUAAUAAAAAAUAAAUGUAUACUUUUAAAAAACAAAAGUAUGCUCUUAUUUUCUAAAAAUUUGUGUUUACUUUUCAUUCUUAAAGUAUAAUCUUCAAACAAUUUUAGAUUAAUUUCAGUUAAGUAUAAUGUAAUGUAGUUUCAUUCAUUAAUGGUUUAAGUAUUGUUUAACCUAUUUUAAUGAUUGUUCUCAAAUACUAUGAUGGGUCAUACUUGUUUAAUGUAAAUAAAAACUUAAUUAUAAUGAUAUUUUAUAAAAUAAAAGUUUAUAUAUGUCUAGAUAUAUUUUUUAAAACAAGUUAAUGCCUAAAUGUACAGUUACAUACUGCAGUUAAUUUACAUAGUAAUCAUAUGACACUUAUUAUAUUAUUAUCCAAAGUUAAGCCGCCAUUUUAUAAAUUUGUAUUAUGUAUAUAGUACUAACAUGUGUUCUUGUUCAUCUAUUAUAAGAAUUAAUAUAUACGAAUUUCAUGUUUUUUUUUUUUUUUUUUUUAAUGUAGGGUUCUUUUGGACGAUUUUUAACAAAUUUUUAUUUUUAUUAAUAUUAUUAUUUGUAAUAACUACAUUUUAGGAUAUUAUAGAUCAAUUAUUUUAACUAAUUUUAUAUAAAAUUAUUCCGUCUUUUAUUGUGUUAUUCCUUAAAAUAAUAACAACUAUCUAAAUCUUCAUAAUUACUUAUUAUUGUAUUUUGUAUUUUUUAUCAUUUAUAAUAAAAAAAAGAAAAAUAGAGUA